rnacentral:antisense_RNA from 1 species
UAAGGGUCAAAUUGUUAAUUUUUCUUGCAUCUCCCCCCACGGGCCCAGGUAUCAUAUACACCGCCAAAGUAAAGAGCCGUGAGUACUAGAAGAAAAGCACCUAGACUUAAUAAAAUUAAGUGAAUACCCAAAAUUGUAGUCAUUUUAUUUCUAUCUUUCCA